rnacentral:rRNA from 1 species
GAUGAACGCUGGCGGCGUGCUUAACACAUGCAAGUCGAGCGGGCAAUUUAUCUAGCACUGAUUACUUCAAAUGGCUAUCGCCAGUGUAAUCAUGAAUUUCUACCUUUUAAUAAAGAAAAAGAAAUUCAUGUACGCAAAUAGUGAUAACACAUUUUAGUGGAGUGAUGAGUGCUGGAUAAAUUGCUAGCGGCGGACGGGUGCGUAACACGUGGGUAACCUGCCCCUAUCACUGGGAUAACACACUGAAAAGUGUGCUAAUACCAGAUAACAUAAGCUUUUGGCAUCAUUAGCUUAUCAAAGAAUUUCGGAUAGGGAUGGGCCCGCGUCUGAUUAGCUUGUUGGUGAGGUAACGGCUCACCAAGGCAACGAUCAGUAGCCGACCUGAGAGGGUGAUCGGCCACACUGGAACUGAGACACGGACCAGACUCCUACGGGAGGCAGCAGUGAGGAAUAUUGGUCAAU